GCCGGUCCUCGGUAGUGGCCCCCGGAAGCACCGCGUGAGCGGGGCGCCGAGGGCUUCGAUCGAAGACCGGC
rfam:Streptomyces sp. PVA 94-07 chromosome, whole genome shotgun sequence.